rnacentral:lncRNA from 1 species
AUUACAAGGCGGAAGUCCCGCCCGAGAGGACAGUCCCCAGGGCUUGCUAAGCAUGCGUGGUAUCAAGAGGCGCAUUGAGGCGCUCCUGCAGCCUCCUCCCGGCACGGGACUCCUCACAACCCCCAGCCUCAGCUUCCCCGACAGGGCAGGGGCUCAGUCUUCCCCACUCCGGGCCAGGAACGCAGCCUGCUUGCCUUUUGUCCAAUUGGGUGCUCUUUCUUUGCGACUGAUACAAAGUAGGAACAAACUCCGCUUCCGGUGAUGCCCGGGCCCCAGGAGGCUGGGGGAGAAGUGCACGCUGCCCAGCCUUCAACCUGAACUGCCCCCAGCACUUCCGAGCCCCGACCCCUGCAGCUGUGAGGGCCCAGGGGCUGCCGGCUGCCAGGACCACCGCAUUGCAGAGGUCUCCCUUGCAGCAGGAGAUCUGGGAGUCCACGACGGCACUUAACCUGCCCUCUGCCCUGGCACCCCAGGGACUCACUGCCAAAGACGCUCACUUUCUGGGAGACACAGACCCCAUCCAGGAAGGGGCACAAGACCAUGCUGCAGGAGGCCCCUUCCAAGACCGCCAACCAUCCAUAGCAGCGCAGACCCUGAGCUGGGAGAGAGGGCAAGAAAACACACCCCUGGUGGAGAUUUAAGAUGCUAAUGACACAUGCGACGUGUGAGCAAGCAGGUGCAGUUACUGUGCGUGUGCACCCAGAGGACCCCCCCAGAACAUGCUUCCUAGCAACACCUCUGCCCACCCGCUGAUUCUCUCGGCACCACGGGAACCACCUUCUCUACUCUCACUGAACACCCCUGGGAUGUAUCUGUAAAAAUUGGAACACCUUUCGGCUAGAAACCAGAGGAAGCCGCUCAUGACACCCGGGAGCUCACAGAGGCUCUGAAGUUUCUAUUCAAGAAAACAACUCCAGAUGGGGCUGAUCUGGAAGACAAGUAACAUCUUCCUUUUCUUGGUGCUCGCCUGCCGUGCUCUAGGUGCUUUUAGAGAUGCUGGUCUGUGUGCUAGGGAAGCGAUGAACCAUACUGUUAGUCUAUUAAGCAUAACUCAACCUGGCUAGCUUUCCAUGACUACCAAAUGCUGGGAAUAUGCCAGACCUGUGCCUGUGGAAGAACCUGGCCUCCCAGCACACCUCCAGGAACAAACUCCCUGGCCCGCAGGAUGGGGACAGCAGCCGCAACAGUCAAUACAAAGGGAUUUUACUGGGUGGGCUCAUGGGUUCUUUAAGUUCCCCCUCUUAACGAUCAACGGUAAUUCAAAUGUCCCAAAAGGAGAAAUGCUUUCUUAGCAUAUUUUUAUCUGGAGUAUUUCCCCUUCUGCCUUUACAGCAAUCAUGCCAGUUCUACCACUUUUGCAGGAAAGCUCCAAGACAGUCAGUGUAGCUGAACCUUUGUCACUGGGUCACCUAUCUAGUCCAUACGUCUGCAGGAAUUAUACUGAUAAAUGGACAACUCGCCCAUGCAAUCAAUCUCCCGCUCUAUCCUGUUCCCUGACCGGCAUGGUUUCUACUUCCUGUCAGCACAACUAGGACGUCUGGUUUCUGCUGGGCU